GACGAACGCUGGCGGCGUGCUUAACACAUGCAAGUCGAACGGAAAGGCCCUGCUUGCAGGGUACUCGAGUGGCGAACGGGUGAGUAACACGUGGGUGAUCUGCCCUGCACUUCGGGAUAAGCUUGGGAAACUGGGUCUAAUACCGGAUAGGAGCCAUCUUUAGUGUGGUGGUUGGAAAGUUUUUUCGGUGUAGGAUGAGCUCGCGGCCUAUCAGCUUGUUGGUGGGGUAAUGGCCUACCAAGGCGGCGACGGGUAGCCGGCCUGAGAGGGUGUACGGCCACAUUGGGACGGAGAUACGGCCCAGACUCCUACGGGAGGCAGCAGUGGGGAAUAUUGCACAAUGGGCGCAAGCCUGAUGCAGCGACGCCGCGUGGGGGAUGAAGGCCUUCGGGUUGUAAACUCCUUUCGCUAGGGACGAAGCUUUGUUGUGACGGUACCUAGAGAAGAAGCACCGGCUAACUACGUG
rnacentral:rRNA from 1 species